GCCGGCCUAGCUCAAUUGGUAGAGCAACUGACUUGUAAUCAGUAGGUUGGGGGUUCAAGACCUCUGGCCGGCACCA
rnacentral:tRNA from 1 species